GUUUCUAAGGAACAAUCUUGGUGUUAGACACACAGCGUCGGCUCGCCUGGAACUUGGAACCAACCCCCGGCGCAAUCGUCAGUCCUUGCCUGAGGUGGGGUGCUGCACACAGGGCGUCUGAGCUAGUAGUGAUGUCGCGGUGGCUUCGGGCGUUCAAGACACGACUGGACGGCCACGCGGCGGGGACGCUGCGCUGCGGGAAGAUGUUACUACGAGCACGUAGCUGCUUCGGACCCCUCCCCCCCUGGAGGGCGGGAGAGUGACCAGGCCGGCGGCGGCUGCGUGCCUCCUGAGAAGCCCUGUCCUCUAGGCUUGGGUCCCUCUUCACUGGGUCUUCCACUUCGCUCUUCACGAGCCCUUUUCUGACUGACCCUGGUGCCCAGGUCCAACCUAACCACCCGAGAGAAUCGCUCCACCCCAUCAACCUUAGGCUUGAACUCAACUCCCAGACCUCCUGCUGACUUGAAUCCUGCAGCCUUCAUCCUAACACUGGGAAUCACUAGAGGGAGCCAGACUGCAGCUCUUCUGAGUUCUGAGCUCAGUUUGCCCCUCUUCAAGACGGCUACUGGCCUACCACCGUCUCUUGGGGAAUGUCUGAACCUGAAUAACUCACCAGCCACUGCACUCCACUCCCAUCCACUGGUGCAUUUCUCCAUGGAGGUCUCUGGGGGCUCUCCAGUAGUCACUGUGGGUCUGCAAGUUUGUGAGCUGAGCCUCUCACAAAGUGAGUCUGAACUCAAAGAGAAAUUGCUGCUUGCCACCUUCGUCUUCAUUGAAGUCUCUCAACACUCUCCUUGUGGGCUUCAGUUCUUGAUUCAGAUCCUUCCUCCUUUUCUCCCUCAUGUUGCUAUAUUCUAGCAUCUGGACACCGAAUCUCAGAGAGGCUGUUUCUCUGCUGCUCACCGCUUCGCCAUCUUUUGGUCUUGAACUUCCAUCUUGGCCUUCCGGAGUGCUGAGAUUACAGGCUUGCACCACCACAUUUGACUUUCCAUCCCUUCCAUGGUUAAUAGUGUUCCCCUGAGGCUGGGAUUUAGCUCAGUGGCCUAAGUGCCUGCCUGGCAAGUGCAAAGUCAUGAGUUUGAUCCCUGGCACUCCCCCCACCCUGCCCAAAAAAAAUUCCCCUGGACCACAUUUUGUUUACUCAUUCUUCUGUGGUGGAUGCUUUACUUCCCUGCACAUGUCAUCUAUUGUGAAUAAUGUUGCUAUAAAUGUGAGUCAUGCUUAUUAUGGCUUUGAGAUCCUGCUUUCAGUCCUCUUGCGAAUAUACUCAGAAGUGGAAUUGCUGGAUCAUACAGCAAUUCUGUUUUUAAUUCUUUUAAGAACAUUUAAUUUUCUACCAUCUAUGCACAUGAAUUCCAAUUUCUCCAUAUUCUCUCUAACCCAAGCUUUUAAACUCUGGCCACCUAGUGGUUGUGAAGUGACAGCUCAUAGGAGUCUUCGUUUGCAUUCUCCUAAAGAUUAGUGAUAUCAAGCAUCUUUUCAAAUACUUGCUCACUAUUUGUGUAUUUUCUUUGGAGAAAUCAUUAUUGAAUCUUUUGUUCAUUUUUUAUUCAAGUUAUUUGUUUUCUUGUUAUUGACUUAUAAGAGUUCUUUAUUCUGAAAAUCAACUCUAUACCAGGUAUUUUUGCCCAUAAAUGGCCUUCUUCAUUCUCUUGAUUGUGUUCUUUGGUGCACAGAAGUUUUCAGUUUUGAUGUGCUCCAAUUGAUCUAUUUAUACUUUUUUUUUUUUUGAGACAGGGUCUCACUAUUUAGCUGAGGCUGUCCUUGAACUCAUAUCAAUCCUUCUGCCACAGCUUCCCAUGUGCUGCAACUAGAGGCCUGCUAUUUAUACUUUUGUUGUCUGUGCUUCUGGUGUCAUAUCCAAGAAUUACAGGUGUAUGCCACCAUACCUGGCUCUUUUCUUACUUUUACUUGUUCCAAGUUACUCUUCAGGGCCUCUUUUUCUACUCUCUGAUGAAACUUUGCUUAAAAAAAAAAAGCCACAGACUAGGAGAAAAUAUAUGUAAAAAAUUUACUUUUAUCAUAUAUAUCUGAUAAAAUAGCUCCAUCCAGAGUAUGUAAGAAUUAUUUCUUUUCUUUUCGUUUUGUUGCUUGACACUGGCUUGCUGUGUAGCUUAGGCUAGACUGGAAUUUACAAUCCUCCUCUCUCAAACUCCUGAGAGCUGGGAUUAUAGGAGUGUGCCACCAAGCCUGGCUGGAAUACAGCAUAUAAGAAUUCUUUUCUUUCUUUCUUUUGCUCUUGGUCUUUCUUGCUUGCUUGCUUUGUCUUUCUUUCUUUCUUUCUUUCUUUCUUUCUUUCUUUCAUGGUCUUGCUCUCUCUCUCUCUCUCUCUUUCUUUUUUUAACAGAGGGUCUUGCUAUGUAGUUCGGGCUGCCCUGCAGCUCACAAUGCCCUUGCACUCGUGGCAAUCCUCCUGUUUCAGCCUCUUGAAUGCUGGGAUUACAGGCAUGCACCACUACAUCCAGCUAGAAUUCUUAUAUUUCUUUUUUUUUUUUGAAUUCUUAUAUUUCAAUUUUAAAAGACAACUCAAUUUUAAAAGAGUUUACCAAAGAAAGUAAAUGGAUGAUAAAUAAAUCCAUAAAAAGAUGCCUAACAUCCUUGCUUAUUAUGAAAAUGCACUUUAAAACCAUAAUGUGGCAGUAUGUACACCAGUAUGUAUAAUGGUUUAAACUUGCACUGGCAGGGUUUAGUUGUAGAGCAUGAAAAUCACUGGUGGUGCUAAAUGUCAGCAAAGAGGUGUGGGGCUGCUGAAGUCUCCCCGCUUUGCCGAUGGUAUCCAAAAAUGACACAGCCACUUUAGAAAAAGUUUUCCAGCUGGGUAUGGUGGUACAUUCCUGGGAGGCUGAGGCAGGAAGAUAGCCAAGUUCAAGACCAGUCUGUGCAAUUUAGUGUCUUAGUGAGACCCUAUCUCAAAAUUAAAAAAAUAAUUCUGAGGAUGAUAUGAAGGCCCUGAAUUCAAUCCCUAAUACUACAGAAAAAGAAAAAAUGGUGGCAAUAUGUUAAAAUACUACAAAUCUUUUGUGAUCUAGCCAUUGUAACUCUAGGUAUUGCCCAAAAGAAAUGAAAGCACAUUUAUCUAAAACAAAACCAAAAAAAAACUUACCUGCAGCAAGUUGUAGUGGUGCAUAUGUAUAAUCCCAGCACUCAGGAGCCUGAGGGAGGAGGAUUGCUAUAAUUUUGAGCCAGCCUGGGCUACAUAGUUUGAGACAAUGAGAUCCUGUCUCAAAACAAGAAUAAAAAGGCCAGUCCUUUCCCAUGAGUCAGCACCAUUCAUGGGCUUGGUGGAGGAGAACAAGAAGCUAACAAGAAGCCAAACCCUUCCUAUGAGUCCGCAUCACACAUGAAACACUGGCAGGAGAACCUGACACCAGCCCUUUCCUGUGGGUUGACACCAUUUGUAGACUGUGGAGAAGGAGAACAAGAAGACAAUAAGAAGCCAAGCUCCCGCUGUGAGUCAGCACCAUUCAAAGGCUGCGGAGGGGAGAACCAGAUGUCAGCCCCUUCCAGCAUGCAGGCUGGGAGACAAGAAGAGCCGAGGUACUCCCCACACCCACUUCCGCUGAAAGUGACUGGUUAAUCCAGAGAAACACAGGCUGCAAUGAAAGCUACUGAGGUAAAAUUCAACUUAAUGCUAGAGUUUAUUGUUUCACUGACUUUGAGGCCUAAAGCCAGUAGUCUGAUCAUCUACUCAGAGAAUAAUAAUAUGCAAUGUAGCAUCUAUGAUGGAUCUCAUUCUGAAGGUGGUAGCCAUGGUUAAGUCCCUAUUAUCUUUUUCAAGUCCUGUAUCAUUUUCACUGUUUUGCUUGGUUGGGUUUUAUUUUGUUUUGUUUUGUUUGAUUUUAUUAUAUCUGAUGGCAUGGGCAGCUGUUUCAAAGAUAACAAGAUAUAUUAUGGUAGCCAUUUUGUUUUAUUACAAUCUUUUUUGUUUUUUAACUAGGGAUUGAACUCAUGACCUUGUGCUUACAAGUGCUUGAGCCACUGAGCUAAAUCCCAGGCCCAUGCUGGCCAUUUUGGAUUUACUAUUGGAGAAAGAUUUUCUUUUCUUUCUUUUUUUUUGGUACCAGGGAUCGAACUCAGAACUGUGUGCUUGCAAGGUAGGCACCUUAUGCUGCUGAGCUAAAAUCCCUGGCUGGAUUUACUAUUAUCUUGUUUUGAAGUCCUUUAUUGUGUUGAUUGUUUUGUUUUUAUUAUUCUAUUGUGUUCUGUUUUGUUUGAUUUUUACUGCACCUGAAGGUAUGGACAGCUAUUUUGAGGACAACAAGGAGCAUUAUGGUAACCACAGUUGAUUUCCUACUAUCUUGUUUUGAAGUCCUAUGUCACUUACACUGUUUUGUUUUAAUUGGCUUUAUUCUCUUUUAUUUUGCUUGGUUAUAUUAUUUUUAAAAUAAAAAUUACAACAACAACAACAAAAAAGACCAAACAAGCCACUUACCUGCAAUGUUCAUAAAAAUGUUAUUCCUAACACAAAAAGAGCUCUAAUGUCCAUUAGCUAAUAAAUACAUAAAAAAUUGUGGCUUAUCAAUGCAAUAGAAUACAAUUGGCAGAAACUAUUGAUAGGCUCAGCAAUGUAGAUGAAUUGCCAAAGUUUUCAGUGAGAAAGCUUUACACAAAAUGGUAUUAUACUGGUUUCUUUUCACUACUUUAACAAAUUACCACAAACUUAGUGGCUUCAAACAGCAUAAUGUUUUAUUAGUUUCUGGGUCCAAAAUGAGCAUGAACAGUUAAAUUGGGUCAGCAGGUUUUCUGGAGGUUCUGAGAACUGUCCUUUGCUUGGGCCUGGGGUGCUAAGGCAGAACAGUGCUGAGCUUGAUUAGCAUGUGAGGCCCUGGCUUCACCCCACUAGCAUCAAAAAGACAAAAAGGGAGACCAUUCUUUGCCCCUUCUCCCUCUAGUGGCUGCAGGCAUUCCUUAGCUCUUGGCUGCAUCAUGUUUCUCUUUCUGUGGCCACAAUGCUUUCUGUAUUGUCAUCAAAUGUCCACUAGGCUCCCUCUAACCAGGACACUUGGGACUACAUUCAGGGCCUAUGCAGACAAUCCAGGCUCAUCUCCUCGCCCCCAAAUCCUUAAUCACAUAUGCAGAAUGCCUUUAGUCCCUUUUGCCAAAAAUAGGUAACAUCUAUGGGUUCCAGGAGUUUGGCUAGAACAGCUUGGGUGGGGACAUUACUAAGCCAGCCACAACUACGUAAGAGUCCAAAAAAGAAAAGAAAAGAAAAAAGAGUUUGUUUAUAUGACAUUCUGCAAAAGGCAAAACAGCAGUGCCAAAAGGAGUCAGACACUGCCUCAAGCUGGGGUAGAGAGCACAAGACAUUUUAGGGGUGACCGAAAUGGCCUAUUUGGUAAUUUGGGUGGGAGUUACAUAGCCUGGUGACCCAGAGUGAGAGGGACAGGAGACAGUAGCACCACUUAAAAGUGACAAAGAGCUAGCGGCAGUGGCCAGCACCCAUAGUUCCACCUACUGCGAAAGCUUAGGCAGGAGGAUCACAUGAGCACAGGUGUUCAGGUGACAAAGGAUACGUGUCUGAAUAGGAAGCAGCUUAUAAAAUGGAAAGUUUUAAAAGCACAGAGAGUAGCAAAGCUAGAGGGAAUGCGAUACAUCACGAGACCAUGGACACAGCUCACACACCUACAGAGUUUAAAGACUUCCCCAAGAGACUGUCGGGUUCCUUAACUCUGUAGAAGUGAGGGGGGAAAUUAGGGCAUGGCAAACUGGCUGGAGAAGUAGGCAACAUCUGUUGAUCACAGAGUUCCAGGACACAUGAGCAGAGCAAUUCCCAAAGCAUUGCAUAUGGAACCAGUCUGAGUGCUAACUUCACUUUGCACAGAACCCAAGCAGGUUUCUGAUAGGACAGCCUAAAUAUGACGUCAGUCUGCAGAGUGAAGGACGCAAAAGAUGGCUGUUGUUGAAUUCUUGGCCAUGAUGCUCUCUAUUGCAUGGUGGUCUGCUCUUACUCUGUGGGUUGUACUCUUUUUUCCUCCUUUUAGUGGCCCUGAACUGGCUCUGCAGGGCAUGUUUCUUUUCUUUUAAUACUUUUAAUAAAUGUAAAACCUUACUACUUUU